rnacentral:rRNA from 1 species
ACGCCGACUAGURSCCCAUAGUWUUGGAYUAAUACAUCUUUAUCUAAUUAAAGAAUUUCGGAAACGGAUAGGCUCGCGUGACAUUAGCUAGAUGGCGGGGUAACGGCCCACCAUGGCGACGAUGUCUAGGGGUUCUGAGAGGAAGGUCCCCCACACUGGAACUGAGACACGGUCCAGACUCCUACGGGAGGCAGCAGUGAGGAAUAUUGGUCAAUGGUCGAGAGACUGAACCAGCCAUGCCGCGUGAAGGUCACGGCCCUAUGGGUCUUAAACUUCUUUUGUAAGGGAGCAAUAAGUCUCACGUGUGGGAUGAUGAGAGUACCUUACGAAUAAGCAUCGGCUAACUCCGUGCCAGCAGCCGCGGUAAUACGGGGGAUGCAAGCGUUAUCCGGAUUUAUUGGGUUUAAAGGGUGCGUAGGCGGUCUGUUAAGUCAGCGGUGAAAUUUAGGGGCUCAACCUCUACCGUGCCGUUGAUACUGGCAGUCUGGAAUGCGGAUGCCGUGGGAGGAAUGUGUGGUGUAGCGGUGAAAUGCAUAGAUAUCACACAGAACACCGAUUGCGAAGGCAUCUCACGAAUCCGCAAUUGACGCUGAGGCACGAAAGCGUGGGGAUCAAACAGGAUUAGAUACCCUGGUAGUCCACGCUGUAAACGAUGAUGACUAACCGUCGGCGAUAUACAGUCGGUGGCCAAGCGAAAGCGAUAAGUCAUCCACCUGGGGAGUACGACCGCAAGGUUGAAACUCAAAGGAAUUGACGGGGGCCCGCACAAGCGGAGGAACAUGUGGUUUAAUUCGAUGAUACGCGAGGAACCUUACCCGGGCUCGAACGGCAGAUGAAUAUAUUAGAGAUAGUAUAGUCUUCGGACAUCUGUCGAGGUGCUGCAUGGUUGUCGUCAGCUCGUGCUGUGAAGUGUCGGCUUAAGUGCCAUAACGAGCGCAACCCUUGCCGUUAGUUGCCAUCAGGUUAUGCUGGGGACUCUAGCGGGACUGCCACCGCAAGGCGUGAGGAAGGGGGGGAUGACGUCAAAUCAGCACGGCCCUUACGUCCGGGGCGACACACGUGUUACAAUGGUGAGUACAGAGGGAAGCUACCUGGCGACAGGAUGCAGAUCUCGAAAGCUCAUCCCAGUUCGGAUUUU